GUGGUAUCCAAUACUUAAGAGUCUAAAUUGGAAGAACUUAAUGACAAAAUUGUAUGCAUCUCAUACAUACCUUUUGGUGCAUCGCUUGCACCAAUUUUUACAGUUGCAAGAUAGGACUUGCAAUUUUUUUUCAGUAUCCUGCCUUACCGCAGUGAAAGUAGGUACCUUGUCUAGAGACUUUCUUUCUCUUCUUCUUCAUCAUGC
rnacentral:lncRNA from 1 species